UGUGCGGUGAUGAGAAGCUAACUGAUGAGAAGCUCUCUUCGGAGGGGAUUCGAAUGAUAUUCAAUAGUUACGCUUGGCUUCUGAGCACU
rfam:Picea glauca, whole genome shotgun sequence.